CUCAAAUAAAUGCGGGGAUGCCUCGGCUCGGAGCAGUCGGCCGCCUCCCUCCGCGCGCUGGACGCUCCGCCGCCGGCCGCCCGCAGGAACCCUCUUCCUCCUUAACAGCUAAGAAAGUCAAGGCUCUGCAGGGUUGAGAUCCUUGUCCAAGGCCUUAAGUGGAAAAGCCUCAAUUCCAGCUGAAGUCACCUUGAGCUCAAAGGCGUGCUGACCUCAAAGCUGUCUGCGCUGGACCCACCACUGCUUUCAGCUAGUCAGGAAUUCAACUGGGUGGAGGAAGAGAGCUUGUUUCUGCUCCCUCGUGUCUAGGACCUCCUCUAGAAGGCUGAAAGCUCAUGUACUUACAAGUCCAGCAGUUGAUCCUGGUUGUUGGCUGGGGAACCAUUUGAGGCUGUCAGCUGGAACAUUACACAUGUGGCCUCUCCAUGUCGCCUGGGCUUCCUCACGGCAUGGGGCCUAGAGUCCAAGGAUGAGCAUUCAGAGACACAGAGAGAGGGAGCCAAGCCAAAGCCAUGCUGCCUUUUAUAACCUGACCUUGGAAGUCAUGCACUGGCACUUCCACCACGUUCUGCUGGUGGAGGUAGUUAUAAAGGUCCAGCCAGGUUCAAGGGAGGGAACGUAUGUAGGCCCCACCUCUCGGCAGAAGAGGAUCGAUGUCUAUGAUUGAUUGUUGAUUGUAUAAUGUGGACUAAAGUAACAUAAGCCGCUUCUGGAUCUAUGCAUCAGUCUCCACACGCCACCCACUCUUUCUUCCCGUGCAGUGGCAACUGUGUAUAAUAUGUGUUGAAGAUGACAAUGACACAAAAGUCGAGGAGGCUGGAUCCCUGAGUCAUCACCUAGAGGAUAACCAUCCAAUCCAUACUGACCUUCGUGAGUGUGAUAAUUAAACUUUAGUGUGUUAAUCCUCUGAGGUUUGGUAAUUGCUACAAGAAUUUUAUCCAUAUCCCCAAACUUCGUCUGAGCCCAAGUAUUAUUCUUCCUGUGUUAACAGCACGUCCACCAGGACUGCAAAUCUACGAUGAAAGCAAGGGACUAGGGGUGAUUUCUCCUGCCUCCUUUUGAUCUGUGCACCUCCCCACCGCUCCAAGUAGCAGUGAGGAGGGAAAUGACUGUGUGAAAGAGGAGAAGGAAGUCAUGGGACUGCCCAGGUCAUUGACCAACAGGAUCACUGACUUUAUACCAAAGGCCUUGGCCAAACCCGAAGGUGGAAAAUGGGCAAUGUUGACACGAACGCAGUAAGUCUUCAGUGCUUCUUUGGACGCUCUAGGGGAAAUGGAGAUCGCGUGCUGGAAAUGAUCGGCAGGCACGUGUCUGCAGGGGCUUAGCACACCCGGAAGACACUGUGUGAAGGAGAAAGUGCGCCUGCUGUCUGUCCCAAUAAAAAGCCUGGGAAAAACACCUGCCAAGUGAUAUUUAGAACUGACAUUUUCAUAGGGAUCCAGGCAAUGGGGGGUUUUGCGGGGCCCAGAAAGCACAGUUUUCACUCUUUCUCCUCCUCAUUUUCUGUAACUGAACAAUGCGCACAGUGUUAACGUACAUUUAAAAUGAUAUGCUUUAAGUAGUACAUUUUUAAAAGCUUUUUAUUUGGAAAUAGUUUUGACAAUAAUAAUGAUUUCAAUAACUACAAUUUAAUAAUAAUAAUUGACAAUGACAAUAAUUUUAAGAAAUAAUAUUUCUUUUCUGAACCAUUUGAGAGUAAGUUGCACACAUCAUGGCUCUUUGCUCCUAAAUAUUUCCUAUUUCCUCUUAAAUAUUUCAGUGUCUGUUUUCUAGGAAUAGAGAUUUUUAUGUAACUGUAGUACAGUUCUCAGUCUCAGUAAAUUUAACAUUGAUAAUAUUUUUUUCUAAUCUACCAUCAGUGUCCUGAUUUUAUCAAUAUUUUGACUUAAUAACGUACUAUUUAGCAUUUUCCCCCCUCAGCACGUGUUGUCAUGUCUCUCUGAUUUCCCUUAAUCUAAAACAUUUCUACAGCCUUGAUUUGUUUUUUAUGAUAUUGAGAGUUUUGAAGAAUAACGUUUCUCGUUGUCACUUGUUCUGUUUCCUCGUGAGCGGAUCCAGGCUGCGCCUCCCCGGCCGACAUCCACAGAUGAGGCCGGAUCCUGCCCAGGGCCUCGCCUCAGGCGCACAGCGUCCGUUUCCUCUCGGGGCUGAUGUCGAUGUUAAUCACGAAGGGCAAUGACGUCUGUAAAACUCUUAAGAAGAAGAGGCCUCUGAAGAUAUGACUCUCUGAAAGCUGUUUUCUAAGUUCCAGUCUGUGGCCUUUCAGUCUCUAAGAAGGAAAUACUGGGUGUGAAUGUUUUCGUCUGGGAUACAGCCGGGCAACUCUGUCCAGAGGGCAGACUGUGCUUCUGACCUGGAUCCUUGGGAUGCUGCUGGUUCUCCACUUCAGGCCGGGAGGGAAGACCAGGUCUGGACCCGCGCACAGGCAAACGCCAUGCCAAGCUGGGGUUUAGGCACCAAGGGAGGCCCAACUGAUGGUGCUAAGGUUUGGGAAACGGAAGCCCAGACUCUGUGUUUAUUCUCCAUCAAUUGGGAAAUUCCUGAAGGAGAACUUUGGCUGGAAAAUGUCUGCAUAGGUGGAUGUCUCUGCUCUCUCGCCACGGGUGCCGUCCUGUCUGAGGUUUUCGUAUCCUGAUGGGGGAAGAAGCAGACGGGGCGCUCUCUCCACUGUCACGGAUGCCGAGUGGAGAGGAGUGGCUACUACGUAGUCUCAGAGUCAGAAAAGAUCUUGAUACACUGGGCCUUUCCAUGAUGAAAGUCUACGCUGAGCAUCACACGUGACCUUGUGUAUUUCCUUGGUUCCAAGAGGCUUUCCUCUACCUUUUACUGUUUCUGGUCUUUGGAUGCAUCCUACACUCUGUGUCAAAGGCAACUAGCUGUUUAAUAGGUACGGUUGUUGUAAAUAGAAAAUCUACCCGUAUGCAGACAAAGGUUCAACUAAUUGUUGCCUUGUUCCUCCUCCACCAUGGGUUGCACUACACAGGAAUGUAUUUUCAUCAAUGUAUAAUUUACAUACGCUAAACUAUGUCCCUCCUAUUGCACAGUUCCAGGAGUUUUGACAAAUGCAUACGGUCAUGUAACUAACACCAAAAUCAAGGUACAGAACAGUUUCACCCCCCAAAAAAGUUCCCUUGUGCUCUUUGUAGUCAAACCCUCCUGCUUAGCCGCUGGCAAUCACUGAUCUGUUUUCUAUCCUUGUAGUUUUGCCUUUUCCAGAAUGUCAAUAAAGAGGGGAGUAAAUUUAUGUAGCCUCUCUGUGUCUGGCUUCUUUUGCUCAACCAAUGCAUUUGAAAUGAAUCCUUGUUGUCCAUGUAUUCAUGGUCUGUUCCUUUCUACUGCUGAGUAAUAUUCCACUGCAGAGAUGUCCACACAAUGUUUACUCAUUCAUCAUUUAAAAGACAUUUGUGUUGUUUUCAG